rnacentral:rRNA from 1 species
CACGUGAGUAACCUGCCCCAAACUUUGGGAUAACCCUCGGAAACGGGGGCUAAUACCGAAUAUUACUGCUGGUCGCAUGGCUGGUGGUGGAAAGUUUUUCGGUUUGGGAUGGACUCGCGGCCUAUCAGCUUGUUGGUGAGGUAAUGGCUCACCAAGGCGAGGACGGGUAGCCGGCCUGAGAGGGCGACCGGCCACACUGGGACUGAGACACGGCCCAGACUCCUACGGGAGGCAGCAGUGGGGAAUAUUGCACAAUGGGCGGAAGCCUGAUGCAGCGACGCCGCGUGAGGGAUGACGGCC